CCUUCCAAGUGUCGCUAGCAGUUUCAAAGGAUCUGAGGACUCAGCUGAAGUUGGAAACCAGGGACCUGUGAGUGAGGUUUCCCUGGCUCUCACUUUUUUUCCAGGGUGGCCAUGUGCCCAGUUCCAAAUAUUCACCUUCCCAGAUUUCCUAAUUGCUGGAGUGUCCACAUGACCCAGUUCUGGCCAAUGAAUAUCCCUAGAAGUCUUCUGGGUGAGGCUUCCAGGAAAGCUGCUGUUUUCUCGACCAAAGGAACAAGCACUUGCCGUUUGCAUUUUUUCCUGCUUCUUUCCUGUCUCAUUCCUGUCUGGAUCCCAUCUGUAGCACUUAAGGGUGGAGCAGCCAUUUUGAAACCAUGAGACUAGAUGCAUAGAAGCUCAAAAGCAGCCUGAUCUCCAAUGGUAUCAUGAGACCUCUUCUCUAGUCAUGGACUCCCUACUUCUGACCUUCCUGUUGUCUGAGAGAAAUAAACCCACUUGGUUAAGUCA